rnacentral:rRNA from 1 species
GACGAACGCUGGCGGCGUGCCUAAUACAUGCAAGUAGAACGCUGAAGAGAGGAGCUUGCUCUUCUUGGAUGAGUUGCGAACGGGUGAGUAACGCGUAGGUAACCUGCCUUGUAGCGGGGGAUAACUAUUGGAAACGAUAGCUAAUACCGCAUAACAAUAGGUGACACAUGUCAUUUAUUUGAAAGGGGCAAUUGCUCCACUACAAGAUGGACCUGCGUUGUAUUAGCUAGUAGGUGAGGUAACGGCUCACCUAGGCGACGAUACAUAGCCGACCUGAGAGGGUGAUCGGCCACACUGGGACUGAGACACGGCCCAGACUCCUACGGGAGGCAGCAGUAGGGAAUCUUCGGCAAUGGGGGCAACCCUGACCGAGCAACGCCGCGUGAGUGAAGAAGGUUUUCGGAUCGUAAAGCUCUGUUGUAAGUCAAGAACGAGUGUGAGAGUGGAAAGUUCACACUGUGACGGUAGCUUACCAGAAAGGGACGGCUAACUACGUGCCAGCAGCCGCGGUAAUACGUAGGUCCCGAGCGUUGUCCGGAUUUAUUGGGCGUAAAGCGAGCGCAGGCGGUUUGAUAAGUCUGAAGUUAAAGGCUGUGGCUCAACCAUAGUUCGCUUUGGAAACUGUCAAACUUGAGUGCAGAAGGGGAGAGUGGAAUUCCAUGUGUAGCGGCGAAAUGCGUAGAUAUAUGGAGGAACACCGGUGGCGAAAGCGGCUCUCUGGUCUGUAACUGACGCUGAGGCUCGAAAGCGUGGGGAGCGAACAGG